rnacentral:rRNA from 1 species
GGUAAUCUGCGGAGGGAUCAUUACCGAGUUUACAACUCCCAAACCCCUGUGAACAUACCACUUGUUGCCUCGGCGGAUCAGCCCGCUCCCGGUAAAACGGGACGGCCCGCCAGAGGACCCCUAAACUCUGUUUCUAUAUGUAACUUCUGAGUAAAACCAUAAAUAAAUCAAAACUUUCAACAACGGAUCUCUUGGUUCUGGCAUCGAUGAAGAACGCAGCAAAAUGCGAUAAGUAAUGUGAAUUGCAGAAUUCAGUGAAUCAUCGAAUCUUUGAACGCACAUUGCGCCCGCCAGUAUUCUGGCGGGCAUGCCUGUUCGAGCGUCAUUUCAACCCUCAAGCACAGCUUGGUGUUGGGACUCGCGUUAAUUCGCGUUCCCCAAAUUGAUUGGCGGUCACGUCGAGCUUCCAUAGCGUAGUAGUAAAACCCUCGUUACUGGUAAUCGUCGCGGCCACGCCGUUAAACCCCAACUUCUGAAUGUGACCUCGGAUCAGUAGAAUCCCCGGUUU